UAGGGAAUCUUCCGCAAUGGACGAAAGUCUGACGGAGCAACGCCGCGUGAGUGAAGAAGGAUUUCGGUUCGUAAAACUCUGUUGUUAGGGAAGAAAAAAUGUAUAGUAACUAUAUACAAAAGAGACGGUACCUAACCAGAAAGCCACGGCUAACUACGUGCCAGCAGCCGCGGUAAUACGUAGGUGGCAAGCGUUGUCCGGAAUUAUUGGGCUUAAAGGGCAUCUAGGCGGUUAAACAAGUUGAAGGUGAAAACCUGUGGCUCAACCAUAGGCUUGCCUACAAAACUGUAUAACUAGAGUACUGGAAAGGUGGGUGGAACUACACGAGUAGAGGUGAAAUUCGUAGAUAUGUGUAGGAAUGCCGAUGAUGAAGAUAACUCACUGGACAGCAACUGACGCUGAAGUGCGAAAGCUAGGGGAGCAAACAGG
rnacentral:rRNA from 1 species